GGGUGGUUAGCUCAGCUGGUUCAGAGCACCUGCCUUACAAGCAGGGGGUCGGGGGUUCGAAUCCCUCACCACCCA
rnacentral:tRNA from 2 species